rnacentral:rRNA from 1 species
GACGGAGGGUGCUAGCGUUGUUCGGAAUCACUGGGCGUAAAGGGCGCGUAGGCGGCCUCGUCAGUCGGGCGCGAAAGCCCGGGGCUCAACCCCGGAACGGCGCCCGGGACGGCGGGGCUGGAGGCCGGGAGAGGGCGGUGGAAUACCCAGUGUAGAGGUGAAAUUCGUAGAUAUUGGGUGGAACACCGGUGGCGAAGGCGGCCGCCUGGCCCGGUCCUGACGCUGAGGCGCGAAAGCGUGGGGAGCAAACAGG